rnacentral:misc_RNA from 1 species
UGGCGAAACUCGGGAUCAUCUGCACACACUGCUAUUAUCUUGUCAUCUUUCUCACCCUGAUCAAUCAUAGGCAUCAAUCCAAUUGCACGAGCACGAAGAAAGGUACUUGGUAACACAGGUUCCUGCAUCAGUACCAAGACGUCCAUUGGAUCACUGUCUUCGCAAAGGGUUCUUGGAAUGAAACCAUAGUUGUGUGGAUAAACAACUGAUGAGUACAGUAUUCGGUCAACCUUUAUAAGGCCACUUGCCUUGUCAAGCUCAUACUUGACUUUGCUGCCUUUGCCUAUUUCAACCACACAGUUGAAAACUGAAGGUGCACCUGGCCCAAUCUCUAGGUCAUGCCAUGGAUGAGCAGCAAUAGAUUUUCGUGACAUGGAGGAAAGAAUUCUUUCAUUAAGCGCAACACGGGAGGUUCCUGAGUUUCUUCCAAUCGCUUUUCCACUAUUUUCAGCCAUAUUUAAAGAGAGAGAUGAUGGGCGAAGGAGAAGGACACUGUGCUCACAGUAUUUUGUUAGGG